AUUCCAAACUGCUGCAAUGGUUGUUCGGUGAAUCCCGUCAGGCCCGGAAGGGAGCAGCGGUAAAUCGGCGCAGUCAUGUGCCUGCAGUACUCUGGAAUGGA
rnacentral:SRP_RNA from 1 species